rnacentral:rRNA from 1 species
GAUGAACGCUGGCGGCGUGCCUAAUACAUGCCAGUCGAGCGAACAGAUAAGGAGCUUGCUCCUUUGACGUUAGCGGCGGACGGGUGAGUAACACGUGGAUAACCUACCUAUAAGACUGGGAUAACUUCGGGAAACCGGAUCUAAUACCGGAUAACAUAUUGAACCGCAUGGUUCAAUAGUGAAAGGCGGCUUUGCUGUCACUUAUAGAUGGAUCCGCGCCGGAUUAGCUAGUUGGUAAGGUAACGGCUUACCAAGGCAACGAUACGUAGCCGACCUGAGAGGGUGAUCGGCCACACUGGAACUGAGACACGGUCCAGACUCCUACGGGAGGCAGCAGUAGGGAAUCUUCCGCAAUGGGCGAAAGCCUGACGGAGCAACGCCGCGUGAGUGAUGAAGGUCUUCGGAUCGUAAAACUCUGUUAUCAGGGAAGAACAAAUGUGUAAGUAACUGUGCACAUCUUGACGGUACCUGAUCAGAAAGCCACGGCUAACUACGUG